AUUGAACGCUGGCGGCAGGCCUAACACAUGCAAGUCGAGCGGAUGAAGGGAGCUUGCUCCUGGAUUCAGCGGCGGACGGGUGAGUAAUGCCUAGGAAUCUGCCUGGUAGUGGGGGAUAACGUCCGGAAACGGGCGCUAAUACCGCAUACGUCCUGAGGGAGAAAGUGGGGGAUCUUCGGACCUCACGCUAUCUGAUGAGCCUAGGUCGGAUUAGCUAGUUGGUGGGGUAAAGGCCUACCAAGGCGACGAUCCGUAACUGGUCUGAGAGGAUGAUCAGUCACACUGGAACUGAGACACGGUCCAGACUCCUACGGGAGGCAGCAGUGGGGAAUAUUGGACAAUGGGCGAAAGCCUGAUCCAGCCAUGCCGCGUGUGUGAAGAAGGUCUUCGGAUUGUAAAGCACUUUAAGUUGGGAGGAAGGGAAGUAAGUUAAUACCUGGCUGUUUUGACGUUACCAACAGAAUAAGCACCGGCUAACUUCGUG
rnacentral:rRNA from 1 species